GUGGGGAAUCUUCCGCAAUGGACGAAAGUCUGACGGAGCAACGCCGCGUGAACGAAGAAGGUCUUCGGAUUGUAAAGUUCUGUGAUUCGGGACGAAAGGGUUUGUGGUGAAUAAUCAUAGACAUUGACGGUACCGAAAAAGCAAGCCACGGCUAACUACGUGCCAGCAGCCGCGGUAAUACGUAGGUGGCAAGCGUUGUCCGGAAUUAUUGGGCGUAAAGCGCGCGCAGGCGGUUUCUUAAGUCCAUCUUAAAAGCGUGGGGCUCAACCCCAUGAGGGGAUGGAAACUGGGAAGCUGGAGUAUCGGAGAGGAAAGUGGAAUUCCUAGUGUAGCGGUGAAAUGCGUAGAGAUUAGGAAGAACACCGGUGGCGAAGGCGACUUUCUAGACGAAAACUGACGCUGAGGCGCGAAAGCGUGGGGAGCAAACAGGAUUAGAAACCCUAGUAGUCC
rnacentral:rRNA from 1 species